rnacentral:rRNA from 1 species
UAAUCCGGCUUCUGCAGCGAUAUUAUUACUCUUCCCAUCCCGAACAGAGUAGUUAAGCCCGCCUGCGCAGAUGGUACUGCAGUUAUGUGGGAGAGUAUGUCGUCGCCUUUC